rnacentral:rRNA from 1 species
UACGGAGGGUGCAAACGUUGCUCGGAAUCAUUGGGCGUAAAGCGCACGUAGGCGGCUCCUCAAGUCGGAUGUGAAAGCCCUGGGCUCAACUCAGGAAGUGCAUCCGAAACUGUGGAGCUUGAAUGCCGGAGGGGCCCAGAGAAUUCCCGGUGUAGAGGUGAAAUGCGUAGAUAUCUGGAGGAACACCGGUGGCGAAGGCGGCAUCCUGGACCGGUAUUGACGCUGAGGCGCGAAAGCCAGGGGAGCAAACGGG